rnacentral:sRNA from 11 species
AGUAUCUGGCAUGUCCUUUUACCUGAAAAAAUUGAGAGAUGGUUAAAUAAUUGA